GAUUUUUCUUGUAUGAGUUGCCUUAUUGUUUUCAAUGGCUUGAUCCCUUGAGCCAUAUUUGGUAUUAUAUUCAAAUAUGGUGCCUCAUGCUGGGAUAGGAAGCUAAUCCUAGCCCUUCCUCAUCACUGGGAAAGUGGUCAAGGAAAAGCAAAUGGUGUCAAAUUCCUCUUUACCCAUAGUCGUGGCAUGAAUUGUGUUUCUCCUUAAUUCAUAUUUUGAGAUCUCAAUGCUCAGAACGUCAGAAUGUCACUGUAUUUGGAAAUAGGGCCUUUACAGAGGUGACUAAGUUAAAAUGUGAUGGUAUAGGGGGAAGACCAUGGGAAGAUACAGGGAAAAGAUAUAAGAAAAAGCCAAGGAGGGUAGCUUCAGAAGAAACAAAACCUGCCAGUGCCUUGGUCUCAGACUCCCAGCCUCCAGAACUGCAGGAGACAUAUGUUUUUGUUGUUUAAGCCGCCCAGUCUGGUACUUUGUCAUGGCAGCCCCGGCUGAGUGGUGUACCCUAUUUUCUCACGGUGUUCUUAUGUUCUAGUUGGUGUCCAGUGGUCUUGGCGCUAUCUGCAUAGCUUCUGGUGGCAGUGCCGAUGCUUUAUGACCCAGUUUGGUGCACGGAUAUCCAGCGGCACUGAGCUAGUGAGACCUCACGAAUCUCAGUGACCAUGGACCAGUUUGCCGUGUCUGAUGUAGA
rnacentral:lncRNA from 1 species